GUCGAACACCUUUUAGCCCCGAUCAGGCCACCAUCUGCUCCUGCUCGGCCCAAGGUGAAAGCAUAUCAGAAGCAGCUUGACGGAACUGCUUCUGCUGCGGCUGACCCACCGCCCGCACUGCAGGCCCAUCCUGCAUCAGCGAGUGCACCCAAGACACGUCCGGCUCAUCAAAAUCCUGAGCCGGCGCUGGCGCAGGCGACCCUCCAUAACUGCCUGUAGUGUUGCUGCUCCUGAUGCCGAAGGAAGCGGACUUCCUGAGCUUGUUCAGCUCCUCCCCCUGAAUUCCCCAGUCAAGCUUUCCGGUCGGGGAGCCCCACCCUGAACUUGUAGCCCCAAUCGGCGCUGCAGCCAGGCCAGAGCUGCGACCAACCACCCCGCGAUCAAUGAAACUCUGGCUACGCUUUGCGAACGCUGACGACCUCGAAUUCAUGAUAGCCUUAGCGGUGGAAUGAUCAAGCCCAAGCGACGACGAACCAUAUGCAGGAUUCAUCUGCUGGCUCAUCGAUUGGUACUGAGCAGCAGCAGUGGCAGUCUGCUGCAUAGAAAGCCCCUGAAGCUGAGAAAUCACAGACCGGUCAAGAGACCCGAGCAGCUCGCUGUAAUCGGAAGCCCUGCUAGCAUUCAUCCUCAUACUCGAGCUCAAAUUCGAGCGAGGAGACGAAAGAUACCCCUCUAGCCCCAUCAAAUCCAUGCCAUCGAAGUCAAGGUCCCUGGCAGAGAGGGAUGCCUUCAGCCUGCUCGGCAGCUGCAGAGAGGAAGGCGACAUCGGCGCCCCCGACUGCUGCAUCAUCAUCAUAGCCGCAGCCAUGUCAAUCGACGGCGACCGUGGUGACGACGGCAGCGACAUCCCGACCGAUGCGGCAGUUGGAUUGACCGAUCGCAAUUCCUCCGGCUUGUGAGCAAAGAAGCAGACGCGACGAUUGCACCCAGUCUCAUCCUUGCAAAGGCGAGUGCGGUACUGCGCUGGGUGGAGCCAGCUCUCAAACACCCCGUGUGCGUACUCGCAGGCGUCCCCGUUGCGGCAGGCGGCGGACUUGCGGAACUCUGGGCAGGGGAUGGAGCUGUACAUGUACUUCCUUGGGUCCCUGCGGCGGGCGUUCUCGCCGGGGUGGACGAAGGGGCACUCAGUCCAGUCGUGCGAGUAGGCUCUGGAGCAGGGUUUGACUUUGAAGGUAUAGAUGCGGAACUCGUCGGUGCCGUAGAUGCCGGUUUUGAUGUCUGGGAGAGUGAGGUCGAGAGGGUAGGAGGGUUU
rnacentral:misc_RNA from 1 species